rnacentral:tRNA from 1 species
GGUUCUAUGGUGUAGUGGUUAGCACUCUUGACUUUGAAUCCAACGACAUGGCUUCGAGUCCCAGUAGGACCU